UGGGGUGCUCGAGUGGCGAACGGGUGAGUAACACGUGAGUAACCUGCCCUUGACUUUGGGAUAACUUCAGGAAACUGGGUCUAAUACCGGAUAGGAGCCAUCUUUAGUGUGGUGGUUGGAAAGUUUUUCGGUGUAGGAUGAGCCCGCGGCCUAUCAGCUUGUUGGUGGGGUAAUGGCCUACCAAGGCGGCGACGGGUAGCCGGCCUGAGAGGGUGUACGGCCACAUUGGGACUGAGAUACGGCCCAG
rnacentral:rRNA from 1 species